rnacentral:lncRNA from 1 species
CCAAGGCCUCGUCCGGCUUCCGUGGCGUUACCUGCGGCGUGGGCGGCCGCGCUCCGGAGCCUCACCCACCAGGGACGUGGCCCCCUCACCCACUGCACUAUUCUUGGAUUGCGGGAGCCGAUCUCUCACGGCACGAAGGGAAGACAGCUGCAGAAUUCCAGCCGCCGACAGGAGGUUUUAGACGGACAUGGACAGCUUGGCUCUGCCGGCGGGAGGGAGCAGACGCGGCCUCCCCAGAGCGCUGUCCCGGACCGGCUUCUCUUAGCAAAGAGAACAUCGUCGCGAGAACGAGCUUUCCAUAAAGCAUUGAGGUCAGCAACAGUGUCUCCUAAAGCUAAAGAUGUAAAGUCAAGGUUAACUGACCAGGGUCUUCUCCAUGUCGUAGGCUGGUGCCCUCUGCCUCACCAACUCCUGCCCCUCCAACGCGGUGUCACCUCCUCUGGGAAGCCCGCUCUAACUCCUUCGGCCAAACUGAACACUCCCCGCCUUUGGAGCCCCGUUGAAAUUAUGGAUCUCUCCCCACUGUCUUCUACCUUAGGCUCGUGCACCAGUGGGUGACUGCCUUUUUCCACCAGGCCACACCAGCGAGGGUCUUUUACAGCUGGUAAAGCUGGAUCUAUAUCUAUGCCUACCUAACCGUUCAUCCUCACGCACACUCGUAUGACGUGUGCACACGUGGUCAGAUGGGCACCCGUAUAAACACGAACAUAAACACGCACGGGGGUAUAUUUCCGAUAACUCAGCUCCAUUAGAGAGAGUUGAGUUUUUGCCCCAUCAGAAGAAUAGAUCAAGACUUGGAAAACCUCUGCUUUUCUUCCCUUGCUUUGAAAAGAUAAAGAAAUGUGAAUGCUAAAUGGGAACAGGGGAUGAGAAGAAGAUAAGCUUGGGAACGGAGAAAGGAGAUGAGAAAGGCUAUAUCUGUGAUCUCACUUAACCCUCGGAGCAACCCGGCUAGGAGCUUCGCUUUACAGUUGAGAAAAGGGGGCCUGGGAGGGUUAAGUGCCACAUCCAGGGUCGCAGAGCCAGGUUGGAUCCUCGCUUGGCCCGGUUCUGAAGUCGGUGCUUUUCCUGCAAAGCUAGGCGGUGUGCCCCUUGCCAGCUGUGGGGUGGCGGGUAGCAGGACACGCUCUGAGCCGGGUUACAGGGUGCUGGAUUCUGGUCCUACCACUUCCUCCUGAUGUGACCUGGGGUAGGUUACCUCCCUCUAGGCCUCAUUUCAUCACCAACAAGAUGGGAGGGAGACACGGAGGAUCAUUCAGGAGGAGCCUGUGAAUGUGAACGGACCCUCCAGCAAGUAAAGCCCUGAGAGAAGCUCCCGGCGCAGAAUUAGGGCAGCCCAGCGGGAGCUGUAACCCUUCCUGUGAAGGCCACACCGGCCCGGCCCCCGCAGAUCCAGGAGGAGCCCCCGCUCCCUCCACACCCGAUGCAGCCUCUGUCCCCCGGCCCCAGGCCGGGACCCCGCCCGGGCCCCAGCUGCUCACAUCCCCACAGCCUAGGUUCCCACCCUUUCUGCAGCGGACUUUAGGGUGGACCUUGGAUGACAGGAAAUGCAUCUUGU